UGCUGAUGUUUGCAUGAUCGGUGUUAGUCCAAGCUAAUCCAAGUACUGAAUUACUCCUUGUUGGAGUACUGUCAUUGAAAUGUAAAUUGAAUUACUGUCAUAUAACAGUAAUCUGAAUUUUAAACUGGGUAUGAAGUAAACUUGCUAGAGUACAAAUUUAUGCAUUACUCCAUAUUUUUUGAGGUACCUUCAUUUACUUCAUACUCAAAAUUUACUCCAAAUUUACACAUUACUCCUUGCUGGAGUAUUUUUAAAAUACUCCUAUGGUUAAAAUGGUCAUGUUGUAUAAAGUUCAUCUGUAUAUGUGCUGAAAAUUCAAUUAUACUUGCCUACUAAAAAUUCAGUUAAAAUUCAGUCACCAUUCUGAAUUUUGAUAUUGCUUCAUACAGCUCCAUCUAACUCCAUCUACUCCUCGGCAUACUGAAUUAAGUCAAAUUCAGUCACCAUUCUGAAUUUUGUAGUUAUCAUACAUUUUGUUCAGAAAACUCACUGAAAAAGAUUUGUUCAGUCACCAUUUUGUUCAACUCUAGUUGAUGUCUAGGAGAAGCAAACUGACCAAAGUAAUCAAACAUCCGAGGAGUCCCAACAAUCUUGUCUCACUUUGAUUUGCUCUAAAAUUAAGAGUGAAUUUGAUUGAACUUACUUUGUACCUUCCCUUCAGAGUGCAUAGGAGCAGCAACAGUAGGGGCACGGGAGAAGGACAGAAGAUAGCAGAGCUCUAACGGUGGAAGCUCGAGGAGAAGCAGCAGCCGGAGCACAAGGAGAAGGUGUAGUCGGAGCUCGAGGAGAGGUAGAAGUGGGAGCUCGAGGACACAUAGGAGAGCAGUUUUUGGCGGUGGCAUAGGUUUGGCCGGAGGUGGCACAGCAGGUCUGAGGAACGGCGGGAGAGCACUUCUAGGCGGCAGGAGAGGGCCGCAGUGGCAUAGGUCUGGGCGAUGGCACCGAAGCUGUUCUGGGCGGCGGCAGACCGGGUCAUGAGGAAUCGUGGCUAUAGCUAGACGUGACUGACCGGCGCCGGCCCUGGCAAUGUGUAACUCAUCCUAUCUUUAUUUUGGCACGAGGGUCUCGACAGGGAUAGAAGCGCACCUCGUCGUUUCGCAAGAAUGAAUAUCAUUACAAAUACAUGUAUGGAAGAGAUGAGUAUAAGGAAUUGGCUUGCACGGGUCACAAGCUACAACAUGAACAACACAAUACAACAAUAUAUUCAAUCAUCAUGUAGAAGAGCAUGGUCCGACUAUGGAUGAAAACAAAUGAUAAAAGAACAAUGUUCAUCCUUACUAUACCAAGCUGCCGACCUAGAACCCAUCCUAUGAUCGAUGAAGAAGAGGAAGAAAAACUCCAAAUAGAAAAAUCACCGCGCUCACGUCAAAGUAUCGUUUUACUUGUACCUGCAACUGUUGUUAUA
rnacentral:lncRNA from 1 species